UACGGAGGAUCCAAGCGUUGUCCGGAUUUACUGGGUUUAAAGGGUGCGUAGGUGGACUUUUAAGUCAGUGGUGAAAGCCUGUAGCUUAACUAUAGAAUUGCCAUUGAAACUGAAAGUCUUGAGUACAGUUGAGGUGAGCGGAAUGUAUCAUGUAGCGGUGAAAUGCUUAGAUAUGAUACAGAACACCGAUUGCGAAGGCAGCUCACUAAACUGCAACUGACACUGAGGC
rnacentral:rRNA from 1 species